AACCUCCGCAAUGUGAGAAAUCGCGACGGGGGGAUCCCAAGUGCCAUUCUUAACGGGAUGGCUUUUCAUUAGUGUAAAGAGCUUUUGGAAUAAGGGCUGGGCAAGACCGGUGCCAGCCGCCGCGGUAACACCGGCAGCUCUAGUGGUAGCAGUUUUUAUUGGGCCUAAAGCGUCCGUAGCCGGUUUAAUAAGUCUCUGGUGAAAUCCUGUAGCUUAACUGUGGGAAUUGCUGGAGAUACUAUUAGACUUGAGACCGGGAGAGGUUAGAGGUACUCCCAGGGUAGAGGUGAAAUUCUGUAAUCCUGGGAGGACCGCCUGUUGCGAAGGCGUCUAACUGGAACGGUUCUGACGGUGAGGGACGAAAGUUAGGGGCGCGGAACCGGAUUAGAUACCCGGGUAGUCCUAACUGUAAACGAUGCGGACUUGGUGUUGGGGUGGCUUUGAGCUGCUCCAGUGCCGAAGGGAAGCUGUUAAGUCCGCCGCCUGGGAAGUACGGUCGCAAGACUGAAACUUAAAGGAAUU
rnacentral:rRNA from 1 species